UUAAUGACAAUGAUGGAGAAAAGUAGAUUAGUCCCAGCCUUUCAGGGAGAAGAAGCCACAGACUGGAAGCUUCUUUAAGGUAUGGUUGAUUGAAGUUCUCUCCGGAGUUGCUGUGCUGAAGGUUUGUAUUAGUAGGUGUAGCCGGGGAUUCCCGCCGUUAAAAGGGAAGAGGUAUCGGAUGUGACACAUCCCGUACUUUUAAGCGGCAUUUAAGCAAUUAGGGUGGUACCGCGAAAUCAAGCAUUUCGUCCCUUCG
rnacentral:ncRNA from 1 species